CACCCCGCCGAGCCCGGCGGCGCUGCGGGGAAAGCACCGCCCUGUACGGGGCCGAGUCGUGGGCUGACGCUGGGGCUGAGCUGGGUUUAACGUGAGACAGGGCCUGAGGCGGGAGCGCCCGGGUGUUGCGGCGGCCGCAGGCCUUGGCUGGUGCCGUGUUCCCGCGGGGGAAUCGCCAACCGCUCCCUCGGCGUUAAAGGGCAAACAGCCAUUUUGUCUGCUGGACAGGGAUGUCGUAGGGAAGCGGUCGGGCUGAUUUUUUGGCAUUGUUUCGUAGCAGGAGAAUGCUAAGUGAAAUUAGCUGUACAAAAUUCGUGUUUUAAAGCUAUUGAGCAAGAAACAAAAUUAACAUCAACAGCAGGUGGCAGUGCUAGCAAGAGCAGUGGUUCUGAUAUGAGUUGUUGGCUCGUGGUUUGUGUAGUUUCAGCUCUUCCGCAAAAGCAGUACAGAGUGCCAGGAUCCUGUGUGCAGAGAGGACAAGACCAGCUCCCACUGAUAACUGACCCCUGGAAUACCCCUUAGGCGUUGUUGUGAGGUUCAGGUAGAAGCCUGCUGUAUGUUGGUGAAGUUCACCCACUGUGCUUCUUAGAAGAGAAAAUUAGUGAAAUUGGUAAAAAAAUCAAAGAAGAAAAACCUGUAAAGUUCCCAUGCUGUGACUGUGACACUCAUUCUUUACACCUCACCUCCUAAUUCUCUGACACAGAGAUUGACUGGAACACAUUCCCAGCACAGCUCUACAAUAUGUCUCUGGCUUUCAACUCUCUCUGAAGAGAAUGGUACCAGGUUACUGCACUGGCAGCCAGGUCUGUAUGUCUUAGAGAGAAAUCCAGGCUCAGAGAAGGUUGACUGAAGGUAUGUUUCCAAGGCACCAGGAUGGCAGGAUGGUUGUAUCCAUCAGUUGCCCUGUCUAACCUGAAGGCAUACCCAUCAUAUAAGUACACAUAUAUACACAUAUGUCUUGUGGUUGUGAAAAACCACAUGCCUUUCCUGCAGCUUUGCAGAUUGCAUUCUUGUACAUCAGUAUUCAGGUAAGUUGGAAAGCUUUCGCAAGCAGGAAGUGGAACUCAAAAAGAGAGUAAGUCAAUCUCUUGAAUGGCUUUAAAGCAUACUUUGUUUUUUAGGAGUUUUUUAUUCUUUGGAACAAAAAGUGUGCUGAAUUGUUGUCAGGCAUAAAUGGGUAUAAUUUGUGAGUACAAAGAAAUGCAAGCAAGUUUGUUGACUCAUUGCCGUAGUGAGACAAAUAAUAAUUUUAAUUAGAUUGUAAUGAAAAUUGUUGUGUCAUGUUCCUCCCCCCCUCCCCUAGUGAAUUCAUUAUCUGAUUAGUCAAAAGGGAUAAAUAAUUCCUUUACAUUUGCAUUCCUUUUUGUCAAGCAGUAUGGAUUUUUCCUUCAUAUAUACAAAGAAGUGAAACUGGCUAAUAAUAAAAUCAUUGAGUAUCCUUAACUAUAAAAAAACCCUUUUAAAUCCAGAACUAGAGGAGGGUUCUGCACACAAAGCAAUCUGCACACAAAACAAUUCUGAAUUUCCUAUUGGAGUAACAGAAAUGAGGUGGUCCAAACACAUCUCAUUGGUUCCUUCCCAUUUCUGAUGGCCUUGAAGCAGGCUUAUGCUCUUUGAUACUGGUUCUCCUAUGCUUAUUUUUGUCUAUAGAGGCCUUUUUCUAUCCAGGAGAAGGAAGUGGUGUGUAUUUGCUUCUAUAUACACACACCCAUUCCAUCUUGCAGGGUGGGUGAUGUGGCAGUAUCCCAUGAGAGCAAAGGCGGGAUUCAGAAGAUCUGUACAAGAACGUUUUUUAUACAUUCUAGAAUGCAUUUGACCUGAUACUUUAUAUUUAAGUAUUUAAUCUACAGAGAAUUUUAUGUCUGUAAGCUUUGUCUCCUCCCUUUCUGAAGAGAGGUCUAGAAGAAAAACUGGAAAUUGAAAAGGAAAUCGGUUGCCCCAUUCUCACUGGUCCUUUCAUAAGCCCUAUGUACGCUUUUUUAUUAUUUUUUAUUAUUAUGUAUUGGCCAAGUGUUUAAGCACAUCUUUAGUCCAAGCCAAUUUGGCGGGUGUUGAUACAAGGCCACCCCAAAGCAAGUAAUCUCUAAUUUGUAGUAAAGCUGGGUUGUGACUGAUGGUUUUAAAUACAGUGAAGAUCUUGGAGGAGGCAAAACACUUGACUUGAUGUUCAGCUUGAGAAGACUUGCUUAUGGCUUGAACUAAGGUCAAGAAGAAGCAGCAGAUGUUGGAGGGGCUAUUACCAUUAUAAUAGAAUCAUUCAGGCAAUCCUAUUUAAUUUGAUUUAUUUUGUUUUCUGUUAUACUCUCAGAUACCUUUCAGACGUAUGAUUCUUUUUGUUUGGAGUCUAAUCCGUACUUCAUUAAAUCUAAUCCACUUAUAUUUGAAUAGUACUGGACAUUUUCUGCAUUAAUAUAUGUCAUUGGGAUGUAAGAAACUUCAAAAAACUCUCGUCAUCAAGCACAGACCUUUGUUACACAGCUCAGCACAUCUUAGAAUCCUGUUCAUCAGCUUAUCCAACUGUAAUUUAAAACCAAACUUAUUUGUUCUCCUGCAUCUAUAGGGUCUAAAUUUGACUCUUCUGAAGGUCAGAGGGUAUGAACUGGAGAAUCUGUCCUUUUACCUGAUGUUAAACUAGUGCGAAACAUAACAUCACUCUUAGAAUAUAUAUGUUUCCACAGAUAGAAAAAUAAGAUUUGCUUAAGAAUUGUUAUAAUUAAUUUGGAAAAUUUGCUGUUUUCUGAACCUCUGGGAUUCUGUAUAUGAUACUUUUUUCUAAGAUGGAGGCAACAGUGGCUUUUUCUUUCCCUCUGCUGACUUCUGAUUCACCUAUAUACCUUCCCUCAUAGCAAUUUAAAGCACUGCCAACAAAAGAUGCUUUACCAUGUGUUGAAUCUCUCAAGUUUCUCCGCAGGUGUCUGCUGAAGAUGAAGCAGGUCUUGAACAAAUGUGUCUCGGGGACUGUUGGUUAGCUAAUUUUUCAUCUGAGUUUCCAACUGCACCAGCAACCUGAGUAAGGAAAAAAAGAAGGAUAUUUUUAAGACAAAUUCUCACUGAAGUAGAAUAAGCAAUGCAGGGUUUGCUAUUUGUUUUUUGAGAUAAAUUUAACCACUUACCUUUGCCUGUUGCUUUGUUUUCUCUGUGUAAGUCACCAGCAGUGCAAAAUUUGACUGAAAAUACAGGCAGAGAUCUUUUAAGCACAUUUUCCUUGUACUUCCUAGAAAUUUAUGCUGACUGCUAUUUCUGCCAUAGGGAAUUUCUAAUUUUGAAGCAGUCUUGGGGCAAAAGUGAUUCAUAAUGAGUUGGCAGUGUCUAAUAAACUUAUAAGUAGUCAUGUAUCAUUAUGAGAUAAUAAAGUAAUGAAAUAAUGUGUUUCCAAUGCUGCCAAUAAGAAGCUGCACUAGAAGCCAGGAGGGAGCAUGGCCAGGGCAGGUGAUCUGAACUGGCCGAAGUGGUAUGCCAUUCUAUAGAACAUCAUGCUCAGUACAUAAAGUAGAAGUCCUGAUUGCUGUGCAGGGACAGGCUGGGAAUCAGUUGACAGGUGGUGAGCAGUUGUAUUGUGCAUAAAUUUGGUUUCUUGGAUUUUAAUCCCAUUAUUAUUAUUACUAUUAUUGUUAUUAUUAUUAUUAUUAAUUAUCAUUAUAUUAUGUUCUUAAUUUUUUCUUUUAUUUCAGUUAUUAAUCUGUUCUUAUGUCAAUCCACUGGUUUUAUCUUUUUCUAAUUCUCCUUGCUAUCCAGAGUUAGUUGGUGGUGGGAAGGGAAAUGGGCAAGUGGUUGCAUGGUAAUUAGUUGUCCACUAGGGUUUAACCACUGCACCUACUAAUGCCUCCAGGUGAGGCUCUUUUUCAGUAUUAUUAAAUCAAUAUUUUCUUACAGUGCCCGUUAAACUGGCUAAAGAAUUCCAGCAAAUAACACACAUCAAAGUCCAGGGAACACUUGACAUGAAGAUUUUAAAUGAGAGGUGUUAAAACAUUUACCAUUCUGCCUUGCAAUAUGGUAUCUAUCGGUUUUCCUACAUGCAUCCUGAGAUAUGAGUUUUUUGUUUUACUCUGAAAGCCUUUAGAGGUUUCUUGCUUUGCCAUUUAUUUUAAUGUGUGCAUCUUCCAACAGGGUAGUCAAUUAAUUUGGCUUUUCAGUUCUUUCAUCUCAAAAUUCUGACAGGUCUAGCAGCUUUCAUAGAAGUGAAGGUAUUUGUGGUUUUCUCUCUUUUUUUCACUUAAACAUUUGACAUUUUAUGUGAAUAUUAGCAAUGUAUUGUUGAGUAACCAUCCUGUAUCAAAAAGUCCUAAUUGCCUGUAUUCCAUGAGGUUAUUGACCGUGUUGUUUUCUUCGUGUUGAUAUACUUUCAUCAAAAUCUUGAGUCUUGAAAUAACACGAUCUCACUCUGUCUAGAACAGAAUUUGGUUACAUAGAAAAUUUUUCACUGCUGCUUCUCAAGCAGCAUAAUCUGGACAGUUUGGGUGAUUCAUCUCCAGGGCUUCCUACAGCAUAUGUCACAAAGGCUGAAGUUCAGAUUUGAAAAGAAGCACUUACUUCUCUGACAAGCUAGCAGUAACUUCUCCUAAUGUUGUGCCUUUAAUAAACUGUAUGCAUUAUGUUCCCAUGAGAUUUGCUUUCUUUUUCUGACAAAAUACAAGUGACAUUUCUUGUACAUCUGAAAAUAAGUUACAAAAGGAGAAGUAAACCAGUUUCAAGAAUGCUGUAUCACAAGGCUGUUAGGAAAUCUUUUUUCAGUUGGAGAUAUGCUGUUGUGAACCAACAGUUUCUUUCUUUGAGGUUAAGAAAUUUGAAAGAAAAGAUCACAUCAGCCUAGCUGUUAGAGAAGUGGGAAACGGUAUCAGAUUAAAUUAAUGUGUACAGAGAUAAUAUAGCACACUUCAUUCUAGAUAAAAAUUGAAAAUUAGUGAAAAUAAGUAUGAAUCUGAGGAAUUGUUCAGAAAUAAAUGAACUAUUUAAAACUAAAUAUGUGCAUAAGUGCUUCUGCUAGGCAGGGAAAUAUGUUCUUUUUCGAGUUAUCUAACCAUUGCUUUUCUAAUUCUUCCUUGUCUUCUAAAUGGCUCAGAUUAUGGUUCAGAACAUCCUAAAUUAAUAAUGAUAGCAAAAGAUGUGUCUUACAGAACACUUACAGAUCUAAAGGUAAUGAUUGCAGUGUGCUGUUUCUAGCUUUAAAAUAUUUAGAAUUUAAAUCCCAUAUAAAGAUAAUAAAGGAUGUGUAUAAUUUUGAAGAGUGAUGUAAACUGUAUAAUCAGUAAGAAGAUAUUUGUAAUAAAUUUGUUUAACAACUGACUGAAAAAUAGGUUGAGUUCACUUGUGUGUUACAUUUGUGCUUUUUUGGAUUUGUAGAUGUUGGGAGUAAAAUUCAUUUAUAUGCAGGUGACAGGUUAUAUAUUCCUGUUAUUGAUUUCAUAUUUAUGUCUUGUUGUACAGCUGCUGAUUCUUGUCUCUUUAAUGGCUUUGAUGGAAACAAGGCUCUUUACUGCUGUUACUGUGUGUGACAUACCUCGGAACACAGGAUUGGGAGAAACUGGUGGUUUUACAGUUCCAGUCCUCUUUGAUAGUGUCCGAGAUGAAAUGAAUACACUUCUGAGACUGUCGCCUGGAGACCACGGAAACUGCUACAACAAAGCGAAGACAGAAGUAACAGACAUGCUAACAAGUGCAGAACUGAGAACUUGGAGUAGAAUGUGCCCAGGCAGAAUUAUUCUGAGAGAGACACUGCAAUGUAUAUAAAAUUUUGCACUCGCACAUCUAAACUAGUACAAUAACUAAUUUUGAAAUGCUAUUGACAGCCCAGGUAGAAUAGGGAGUGAAGACUGAGACUGUAGCUGUACAGGCUGUGAAAAGACUGGUGUGAAGAGGAAGAUCAUUAACCAGAGGAUUAAGAAAGCAGUCCAGGUAAACAGUAAGAUAUAGAUGGUCUAAAGAUUAACAUAAGAUUCCUGUAUGGGAAUAUCUGUGGAAAAGGAAGGGCUACUUCAGUGUUCCCUUAAAGAAAGUGGACUGGUGGCCCUGAAGAUGGUGGAGUGAAAGCUGAGGAAUUACUCAGAGGUGCAAAAUGAGGUGUGAAGUUCUGUGAACCUUGAGACUGCUUUGAACUGUUACCAGUAGUUUCUGAAAUUUACAGACAGGGAUAUGUUGUAGAUCCUUGUAUGUUUUUGCAACUCCUUGUGUUUUUCAUGAUGUAAUUUUGAAUGAUUCUGGGACAUUUCAAGUUGGUUUGUGUUAAAAAAAAAAAAAAGAAGGAAAAAAUACUGUAGUGGAAGACUGCAGUUACUGAAAAAACAUGAGUUACUAAGUUUUUUAACACGUGAUUGCAAAGUAUGUAAGUAGAAGAAUAAUCAGUUUGGUUCUCACACUUAAAUUGCAACAGUAGAUUUUUCUCUGGGGAUAUUUUUCCACAUAUCAUAAGACAUAUUUUCCUAAAUGUUUACCUUUCUUUCCAUACCAUUUCUGUCUGCAAACAAUUAGGAGCAAAGCAUGGUACUAGAUAAUGCAAGCUACCUGCACUAACUCGGUAUAGUCCAAGAUGACACUAUAGGUCCCCAUCUUUAUGAGUGUAAAUAAGUUAAGAAGUUUAUGCAGUUUAAAGGAAAUAACAGAUAGAACUGUGGAUAAGACAGGAGAAAGAAAAAAUACAGACUCUAUGUUUGUGAUGUAAAGGUUAAAUGAGAGGAAGAUCUGAGGAUGAUAGUAGAAUUUUAUCAAAUACCAGUAAAAAUUCUAGGUGGCUUUGAUAGCUAUAUAAAUCAUAACAUUGGAAUUCUGUAUGUAAUUCUGAAUGUGAAAGGGUUCAAAAAAGUAAAAAGAGUAAACAUAUGACAUAGAGUGACAUUCUUAAAUCACAUUUCAGCCUAAGAACUGAAAAAAAAUGAAAACAAACCCUGUACAUAGGAGAAUAGAUUUUUUCCUGUCUUACAUACUCUAGGCAUGAUUUCUUACUUUUGAGUUUUCUUUCAUUUGGGAAGCAUUGUACUAAUGGUCAGCUGGAAAAGGCAGAGCAAAAACCUUGAACUGAUAUGACACUGAUCUGUAACUUUGUGGUCAGCUGGGUAAAUAGGGAUUUAGGUCCUAUUUUGAAAAUAUGUAUUUACUUUGUAAAAUAUAAUGGUUUGAGGGGGAAAAAGUCUCACUAUGCUCUAUAAGCUAUAUAUGCAUUUUGGGCACUUUUAAAAGUGAGUGAAAUGGCACUUUUUUACUAAUAAAAAGGUCUCAAAUCGAAUGAGUGCAUGCAAAACAUUAUUUUCUGACACUUAGAAUAAGAUCUUUAGUAUUUUAAUUUACCAUUGAUUUAUCCACAGUCACUAAUCUCAAAAGUCCAGCUGUUAUUUACAGUUUUGGAGCUAUGUCACUAUUUACUUUGAACUUUUUGGUAACCUCUGUGUUGCUAUAUGAAUCUAUAAAGUUAAUUAACAUAGAGACACUAAGAUUUUCAGUUUGUUUUGUUCAAGAAUAUCACUAAGGCAUACUUUAAUUAGAUUAGUUUUAGAUGCAUACAGAGUUGGUAUGGAUUCAGGUACCAUUCAUGGUAAUAGGGGCAAAAUCCUUCCCUCAAAUAAAGAGGUUUUGCAACUUUGUUGACUUUAGUGUUAUAUAAUCAGUGUGGAAACAGAUUAUGCUAGUUCAUUUGGAGUUUUUUCAGGAGGAAUAUAAUAAACAAGAAGUUAUUAAGGAGUACUGACUUCAUAAUUUAAACCUUGGAAUUGUGUUCCUAAGAAUGCAAAUUAUAAACUGGCCAUUAAAUUUACCUAAGACGACUUUUUAUAACCAUUGGAGAUAGCAUUGACAAGGCUUCAGAUUCUGAGGAAUAUAGGGAAAGCAAAUCUCUAGUCAGCUUUCUGGUGAAACCUGAGCACUUUAUGAAUUACAUAUCAUGCAGUUGUUUGGAAUUUUAAAGUAUUGAUUUUCAUGACUUGGGUUUUCUUCUACUUCUAAGCAAGUAAAUUUGCAUUGCAGGGACAAAUUGUCGGCCAUUACUCUAAUUUGCAGAGAUGAUCAAUUACCUAGUCCUUCCAUGUGUACCUUUGACUUCUCUUUCAAAUAAAAUGAAAAAGAUAUCUUUGCAUCUUCAAUUUUUUAAAAAUCCAUUUCUACAUGGGGAGAAAAAAUAUAAAUGUUAUCUCUUAAAUCAGAAUACAUCAUUAGAUCAGAAUAAGACUUGCAAACUCAGAACUUCUACCAGCGGAAAUCAAUGUACAAAAGCCAUGAAGAAGAGAAAUCCUAGGGAUACUAAGAAGUUUACUGAUAAUACUAAACUGGGAGGAGCUGUUGACAUCCUGGAGGGCAGAGAAGCCCUGAAGAGAG